rnacentral:lncRNA from 1 species
UAAUAUUAGGUGAGAUAAUAUCAGACCAAAGAGGAACUAUUUCCUCUGAGAAUAUAUAGGAAGUCAAUAAAAGAAGUAUGUCACAUAUUUAAGUUUGACAAUGUUAGACCUAUAAGCUGUAAUCUCAUUCUAUUAGUGGGUUUUAACUUUCUUAAGGAAUCUCACUUUUUUCUUAUAAACACCUAAUUUUGUCCAGGCCUUCUAAUGCUCUGAAGAAUGCUGACACAAUAUGGUUUAUUCUGUCUGGAUGUGUGUUAUAUCACGUUGCCCCCUACUGAUCAAGAGACACUGGGAUACGUGAGCCAAUCACUAGGACACCCAUCAGUGAAACAAGCAAGAUGGCUUAGCCAGAUAUCCACUGCUAGCCUCUAUACAAGAGGUCAAAAUAGAAGUCUUUAUGGCACUAACAAUUUAUUAUUAAAGCAAUGAACAUCACAAAUGUUUGGCAGGUGAUACAAUGAGUUAUUUCUCUAUUCAUUUUCUUGAAGGUCAAAAUUAAUUUAAGAAGACAAUCUUGUAAGGUGAGAAUAGUUUCAAAUUAUAUUGAAUUCCCCUUGGAUCAAUUGAACAAUUUCUCCUUGGAGCUCUGACAAGUCAAGAGUUUGGAUGUCCUCACUCCCAUCCUCACAACAAGAUAUAAGUGGAAUAAUCUGAAAAUCAAGGACUUUUCUUGGAUCUAUUAGGGACCUGAGAUUGUAGAGCAAAUCACCACCCCGAUCUGCAACGACAGGAGAAUGCAGAGAAUCACAGUGAAAUCAGCUUAUCUGGAGUAGAAGCCACUGAAGCCAUAAACCAGUAGGAACACUAAAAUGAUCAUUUUGACAACUUGCUAAAGGCUGACUAUGAACUAGCAUGAGAAUAGAAAACUUCCAGAGACCACAUUCUUGGAGGAGAAGCACACUUUUAUGACUUUUAUCUCCAGGGACCCCAAUAGGUUCUUAUGAUGAAUAGCCAAGAAAAUCUCUUUCAUGUUUCUGGGGGAGAGAUGGGGAGAAAUGACCACUUCGAAGUAUACCCAGAGCAUUUGCUGCAACAAAGGCCCACUGCUUAUGGGAAAAGACUUUCAGAGGCUUAUUCACCCCUGGGAGGAAGGCAGUUACCCAACUUCAGCACCCUCUAGACUUCCCUCUAGACUUCCUGUCUUAACUAAUUGUAGAUUACAGUUAAGACACACUUGUGAAGCUCACAUCCUAGGGACAUAGGCCUCCAAAAAGACUGGGAUUUAAUCAUGAGAUUAGAGAAGGCUUGCUUUCUUCCACACUUUACCACCAAAUCAACAGGGUUCCAAAAUCAUAACAGUGGAUUGCAGCUGAAAGAGCUAUAAGGCACAGACUUUAUUUAAGAAGGAGUCUUUAGGGAAAUUUAAAGACUACAGAAGAGGCAAAAAUAAGGACCCUAGAGAAAACUGGAGUCUCUGACACCUUCAGUUACAGCAAACAUUAACCCAGUCCAACUUCUAGCCAGAUUAACAUAAAACAUCACACUAAAGAUGUAUUCACCUCAGUACCCAUUACAUCUGGCUUUUAACAACAAAAUAAUUACAAGAUGUGCUAAAAAGAAAGACAAAUUUUGAAGAGACAAAGCAAAUGUCAGAAUCAGAUAUGACACAAAUUUGAAAUCAUCAGGGAAUUUAAAAUAUAGUUCAUAUGCUAGGGCUGUACCAGUAAAAGCAGACAACAUGCAAGAACUAAUGAAUCUGACAUAAGCAGAAAGAUGAAAACUGAAAAGAAUAAAAAGGAAAUGUUAGAAAUUUAAAAAACUGUAGCAGAAAUGCAGAAUACCUUUGAUGGGAUCCUCAGGAGAUUGGAUACAUCUGAGGAAAUAGUUAAUGAGCUUGAAGAUAAUGUCAAUAAAAUUUCACAAACUGAAAUGGGGAGAAAAAAGAGUGGAACAAACAGAACAGAAAAUCCAGGAACGUUGGGACAAUUUCAAGUGGUGUAACACUUAUAUAAUUGGAGUACCAGAAGGAAAAGAAAGAGAAGAAGUUUUGAAGUAAUCAUGGCUGAAAAGUUUCCAAAAUUAAUGGUAUACACUAAACAACAGGUCCAGGAAGCCCAGCAAACACCAAGUAGGAUAAAUAUCAAAAAAUCUGUUCCUAGGCAUUUAAUUUUCAAGCUACAGAAAACCAAAGACAAAAAGAAAAUAUUGAAAGAAAUGGAGAAAAAAAAAAACACACUUUACCUGUAGGAGAUAAAGGAUAAUAAUCACAUGCAACUUCUUGUCAGAAGCCAUGCAAGGAAGAAGAGAGUGAAAUAAAAUAUUUAAAAGGGUCAAAAGAAAAAGACCACGGAUCAAGAAUUCUGUAUCCAGUGGGAUUAUCCUCUACAAGUAAAGGAGAAUUAAAGAUGUUUUUGGAUAAACAAAAGCUAAGGAAAUUCAUCAGUAGACCUGGACUGUCAAAAGUUUUCAGGAAGAAGGAAAGAAUGUUGGUCGUAAAUUUGGAUGUGCAUAAAGAAAGAAAAAAAUAAUAGAAAGAAUGAAUAAGACCUACUAUUUGAUAGCACAAUAUGGUGACUAUAGUCAAUAAUAACUUAAUUGUACAUUCUAAAAUAACUUAAAGGGUAUAACAGGAUCAUUUUUACCUCAAAGGGUAAAUGUUUGGGGGAUGGAUACCCCACUCCCAUGAUGUGAUUAUUAUGCAUUCCAUGCCUGUACAACCUCAUGUACCCCAUAAAUAUAUGCACCUAUGUACCCACAAAAAUGAAAAGAAAUUAAAAAUCAUUUUAAAAAAGAGCAUCAGAGAAGGAAUAAAUGAAGGUAAAAUAAUUUUUGUCUUAGUUGAUCUAGUAUUCAGAGUGGUAAUAGUAACAACAUAUUGGGUAAUUAUAGGAUAUGGAUAAAUAAAAGAAGUAGCAGCAAUGUUAUAAGAAACAGGAAAGAGGAAGUAGGAAUUCUUUGUUAUAAGUUGCUUGCAUUACCUGUGGGGUGGUAUAGUGUUAUUCAAAAGGGGACUUAAAU